rnacentral:rRNA from 1 species
ACCGGCAGCUCAAGUGGUGGCCAUUUUUAUUGGGCCUAAAGCGUUCGUAGCCGGUUUGAUAAGUCUCUGGUGAAAUCCCGCAGCUUAACUGUGGGACUUGCUGGAGAUACUAUUAGACUUGAGGUCGGGAGAGGUUAGGGGUACUCCCAGGAUGGGGGUUAAAUGCUAUAAUCCUGGGAGUGAGACACGUGGGGCAGGCGCGUGACUCGAAGGAACCACCCGUGUAGUAAGGUGAUCCAGUUUCGUCGCUCG